UAGGAAGCUUUCGCCUCUACACUGGGACCCUCGGAAGGUGCCGGCGCAGUGCCUGAAGCUGUAGCGUGUGCCGCGCUCAGGUGCUCAGGUGAUGUGCAAUUGACCUUGGGAUGCAUAACUUCGUUGGGGUGUGUUCACUUGAGAAAAGCACAACUAUCUAGGAAUCACUGACAUAUAAUAACUCCACAGCAUGUGGCCCCAAGAACUGCCCUGAAAG
rnacentral:lncRNA from 1 species